GAAAAGAAAUGGACAUGGAAAAGAAAGGAACAAAAUCUAUAGAGAAAUAGCAAUGCAGACAUGAGCAAUCCAUUAUGCGAAGAAUUAUAAGAGCAGUCAUUGGAGAGAAGUUCCACCUCCCAGACAUCAGUACAGGAUAUGGUCCUGCUGAGCCACAUAACGCUUUUAAUAGGCUACUCAGCCAACACUGAGGAGAGAAGUCUGCAGUGAAAUAUGUUUACUCAAGCAAAACAAGGUCUCCUAGCUGAGUGUGUGGCUGCGGCUUAUGUUGGAAGACACCUUCAUGGAAACAAGAGGUUUAUUGAAAACAUUACAGAACAAAUUCAAAUGGCUCCAUGUGGUGUUUUGAAAUUUAUCCCAACUGUAGGCUGAGUGACCC